rnacentral:rRNA from 1 species
CUCCUACGGGAGGCAGCAGUGGGGAAUAUUGCACAAUGGGGGAAACCCUGAUGCAGCAACGCCGCGUGAGUGAUGAAGGUUUUCGGAUCGUAAAGCUCUGUCUUUGGGGAAGAUAAUGACGGUACCCAAGGAGGAAGCCACGGCUAACUACGUGCCAGCAGCCGCGGUAAUACGUAGGUGGCGAGCGUUAUCCGGAUUUACUGGGCGUAAAGGGAGCGUAGGCGGAUGAUUAAGUGGGAUGUGAAAUACCCGGGCUCAACUUGGGUGCUGCAUUCCAAACUGGUUAUCUAGAGUGCAGGAGAGGAGAGUGGAAUUCCUAGUGUAGCGGUGAAAUGCGUAGAGAUUAGGAAGAACACCAGUGGCGAAGGCGACUCUCUGGACUGUAACUGACGCUGAGGCUCGAAAGCGUGGGGAGCAAACAGGAUUAGAU